AUUGAACGCUGGCGGCAUGCCUUACACAUGCAAGUCGAACGGCAGCGCGGACUUCGGUCUGGCGGCGAGUGGCGAACGGGUGAGUAAUACAUCGGAACGUACCCUGUUGUGGGGGAUAACUAGUCGAAAGAUUAGCUAAUACCGCAUACGACCUGAGGGUGAAAGUGGGGGACCGCAAGGCCUCACGCAGCAGGAGCGGCCGAUGUCUGAUUAGCUAGUUGGUGGGGUAAAGGCCCAACAAGGCGACGAUCAGUAGCUGGUCUGAGAGGACGAUCAGCCACACUGGGACUGAGACACGGCCCAGACUCCUACGGGAGGCAGCAGUGGGGAAUUUUGGACAAUGGGGGCAACCCUGAUCCAGCAAUGCCGCGUGUGUGAAGAAGGCCUUCGGGUUGUAAAGCACUUUUGUCCGGAAAGAAAUCGCGCUGGUUAAUACCUGGCGUGGAUGACGGUACCGGAAGAAUAAGCACCGGCUAACUACGUG
rnacentral:rRNA from 1 species